GCUCUAAAAAUCCGCCCAAAAAACUCCAAAAAAAAAACCCCAAAAUCCCCUAAAAAUCCCCCCAAAAUCCCAGAAAAAAACCUCAAAAAAAAUUCCCCAAAUUCCCCUUAAGAAGCCCCAAAUUCCCCCAAGCCCCGCCCCCAGCCCCGGCCUGGCCCCGCCCACUGGAUGAUGUAAUCGGUGCUGGCCCCGCCCCAGGUGUUAGACCCCGCCCCCUCGAUUACGUCACUGAUCUACAAGAACAUGGACAGGUGGAAACGGGUCCGGCAGCGCUGGCGGGAGGCGGCGCAGCGGCAGCAGCAGCGCUACGGGCCCAGCCUGCGGCUGCUGCGAAUCAUCUACGAGCGGCAGUGAGGCCACGCCCACCGGCCACGCCCACAUCGACCACACCCACCCUGACCACGCCCACAUCCACCACAGCCAGCCUGACCACGCCCACAUUGACCACUCCCACCUGACCUCCACCACACCCACCCUGACCCCACCCACAUUAGCCACACCCACUUCAAGCAUACCCACGGCCACGCCCACCCUGGCCCCGCCCCCUCCCCAAUAAAAACUCCGUUCUUCCCAUA